rnacentral:rRNA from 1 species
GCCAGCAGCCGCGGUAAUACGUAGGGUGCAAGCGUUCUCCGAAUUAUGKGGGCGUAAAGAGCUCGUAGGCGGUUUGUCGCGUCUGCUGUGAAAUCCCGAGGCUCAACCUCGGGCCUGCAGUGGGUACGGGCAAACUAGAGUGUGGUAGGGGGAGAUUGGAACUCCUGGUGUAGCGGUGGAAUGCGCAGAUAUCAGGAAGAACACCGAUGGCGAAGGCAGAUCUCUGGGCCAUUACUGACGCUGAGGAGCGAAAGCGUGGGGAGCGAACAGGAUUAGAUACCCUGGUAGUCCACGCCGUAAACGUUGGGAACUAGAUGUAGGGUCCAUUCCACGGAUUCUGUGUCGCASUAACGCAUUAAGUUCCCCGCCUGGGGAGUACGGCCGCAAGGCUAAAACUCAAAGGAAUUGACGGGGGCCGCACAAGCGGCGGAGCAUGCGGAUUAAUUCGAUGCAACGCGAAGAACCUUACCAAGGCUUGACAUAUACCGGAAAAGCGUAGA